rnacentral:rRNA from 1 species
AGAGUUUGAUCAUGGCUCAGAGCGAACGCUGGCGGCGUGCUUAACACAUGCAAGUCGAACGGAAAGGUCUCUUCGGAGAUACUCGAGUGGCGAACGGGUGAGUAACACGUGGGUGAUCUGCCCUGCACUUCGGGAUAAGCCUGGGAAACUGGGUCUAAUACCGGAUAGGACCAUGAGAUGCAUGUCUUAUGGUGGAAAGC